UGGGGAAUUUUCCGCAAUGGGCGAAAGCCUGACGGAGCAAUACCGCGUGAGGGAGGAAGGCUUUUGGGUUGUAAACCUCUUUUCUUAGGGAAGAAGAAAGUGACGGUACCUAAGGAAUCAGCAUCGGCUAACUCCGUGCCAGCAGCCGCGGUAAUACGGAGGGGGCGAGCGUUGUUCGGAAUUACUGGGCGUAAAGGGCGCGUAGGCGGUCCGUUGCGUUAGGUGUGAAAGCCCUGGGCUCAACCUGGGAGGUGCACUUAAUACGGGCGGGCUUGAAUCCGGCAGAGGAUGGUGGAAUUCCCAGUGUAGAGGUGAAAUUCGUAGAUAUUGGGAAGAACACCGAUGGCGAAGGCAGCCAUCUGGGCCGGGAUUGACGCUGAGGCGCGAAAGCGUGGGGAGCAAACAGGAUUAGAUACCCGCGUAGUCC
rnacentral:rRNA from 1 species